CCCUCUUCCUACCACACAAUGGGCAUUAUAUUUCCAAGCAGAAAGCCAUGCAGGACACUCAGAGUCGACCCCAUCUUCUACCAUGUGACCACAUACCCACCAAGCCAGCUGAGCUCCACACACGUGUGAGCACCUACACUGCACAACUGCAGAGGGCCGUUGCAGCAAGGGCAACUGGGAUGGAUACGCUCACAAGAAGUCCCUCAGCGUGACCCUCGGCCCGUGGAGCUACAGGGUCUGGACCGUGCCCCUCUGUCUCCUGGAGACACCCGCCGUGCACUGCUGGACAGGACAGGACGCCAACCAAGCACGCCCAGGCCCACGCCCACGCUGGCGGGUCAGGACCACAGCUUCAUGACUGGGUCCUCGGCAGCGAUGCAGUUUCCAGGGAGGAAAACAGCACUCUCCACCGUGUCACUCCGUUCUAAGCCCACUUCAUUCGUAACUUGUAACUGCUGCAUCCCCCACGCAGGAACAAUUUGCUUUAAAUAUGGGAAGCAUUUUCCUCUCUUCCCUCUCCCUGCCAGAAGCUGCAGCAGAUUCAUCUCCCAACUUAGUACUUGUUUGUAAUGAAAGCUUCUGUCUCUCAGCUUAGGGUGGCCAGGUGAUACAUGGCUCUGGCCCGGAGUCCAGUCCCACUGCCCCGCAUGUGCCCGGGCCUGCAGUGUGAUCAGGUCUUUACUCGCCAAUGUGCGAAUGCCACAGGCUGCAGCCCACA
rnacentral:lncRNA from 1 species